UACAUAACAGCACAUCCAGUGCUGUUGAAGCUGAUGGCUACAUCACCACCUGCAGUCAGUUUACAGGCAGAUGGAUGCAGCCUACAGAUCACUGGCUGUGUGGAUGUAUUUGUUGUUCUGCCAAAUUCAACCAUACAGUACAUCUUUACAGGGAAUCUAGCUCCAGUUCUCCCUGCUGCACUCCAUUGCUAGCUUCUCUGAG
rnacentral:lncRNA from 1 species